rnacentral:tRNA from 1 species
GUCCCUGGAGGACUAGUGGUUAGGCCACAGUGCUCUCACCGCUGUGGCCCGGGUUCAACCCCAGCCGCUGGGAUU